CGAACGGGUGAGUAAUGCGUGACCAACCUGCCCCAUGCUCCAGAAUAGCUCUUGGAAACGGGUGGUAAUGCUGGAUGCUCCAACUUGACGCAUGUCUUGUUGGUAAAGUGUUUAGUGGCAUGGGAUGGGGUCGCGUCCUAUCAGCUUGUAGGCGGGGUAAUGGCCCACCUAGGCUUCGACGGGUAGCCGGCCUGAGAGGGCGGACGGCCACAUUGGGACUGAGAUACGGCCCAGACUCCUACGGGAGGCAGCAGUA
rnacentral:rRNA from 1 species